rnacentral:other from 1 species
GAUCCCCUGUCGUGUCCGUGUGGAUUGAAAUUUUUGUACCAACAUCUUAAAAAAGGGAGCCGGGAUUAAACCGACUAAGAACACGCCCGAUAGGGAAGUUCGAAGCGAUUCACUUGGCGCCCACCUGCUUAGCAGGGUUCAUAAUUUCUUUUCCAUAUCGGCACUGUGGCGGGGGAUCA